rnacentral:tRNA from 1 species
GGUGGGGUAGCUCAGGUGGUUAGAGCGGCGGAUUCAUAACCCGCAGGUCGGUGGUUCAAGUCCACCCCUCACCACCA